rnacentral:rRNA from 1 species
CCUACGGGUGGCUGCAGUGGGGAAUAUUGGACAAUGGGGGCAACCCUGAUCCAGCCAUGCCGCGUGUGUGAAGAAGGCCCUCGGGUUGUAAAGCACUUUCAGUGAGGAAGAACGCCUGGUGGUUAAUACCCAUCAGGAAAGACAUCACUCACAGAAGAAGCACCGGCUAACUCCGUACCAGCAGCCGCGGUAAUACGGAGGGUGCGAGCGUUAAUCGGAAUUACUGGGCGUAAAGCGCGCGUAGGUGGCUUGAUAAGCCGGUUGUGAAAGCCCCGGGCUCAACCUGGGAACGGCAUCCGGAACUGUCAAGCUAGAGUGCAGGAGAGGAAGGUAGAAUUCCCGGUGUAGCGGUGAAAUGCGUAGAGAUCGGGAGGAAUACCAGUGGCGAAGGCGGCCUUCUGGACUGACACUGACACUGAGGUGCGAAAGCGUGGGUAGCAAACAGGAUUAGAUACCCGGGUAGUC